AUUGAACGCUGGCGGCAGGCUUAACACAUGCAAGUCGAGCGGGGUGAUGGUGCUUGCACUAUCACUUAGCGGCGGACGGGUGAGUAAUGCUUAGGAAUCUGCCUAUUAGUGGGGGACAACAUCUCGAAAGGGAUGCUAAUACCGCAUACGUCCUACGGGAGAAAGCAGGGGAUCACUUGUGACCUUGCGCUAAUAGAUGAGCCUAAGUCGGAUUAGCUAGUUGGUGGGGUAAAGGCCUACCAAGGCGACGAUCUGUAGCGGGUCUGAGAGGAUGAUCCGCCACACUGGGACUGAGACACGGCCCAGACUCCUACGGGAGGCAGCAGUGGGGAAUAUUGGACAAUGGGGGGAACCCUGAUCCAGCCAUGCCGCGUGUGUGAAGAAGGCCUUAUGGUUGUAAAGCACUUUAAGCGAGGAGGAGGCUCUUUUGGUUAAUACCCAAGAUGAGUGGACGUUACCCGCAGAAUAGGCACCGGCUAACUCUGUGCCAGCAGCCGCCGUAA
rnacentral:rRNA from 1 species